UUUGAGGCUGUGAUGUUGAUGAACUACCUAUUUUAUGAGGGGAGGUAUUCCCUCAUGAUUACAAAACUACCAAUGGAUCCUUCUGAGCCCUCAC